UUUUUCAGGGGGAGAUGUUUGUUUAUCAAAAUCACGUCUGCUAUUAUGAGCUUGCUGGUUUUUCAGCUUCAUAUAGAUAAAAUAAAGAAUCAUGUCUGCUGUUAUCGUCAAUUAUUUACCUGUGUGUGAUGUCAUGAGACAACUGUGCUUUCCCUGCAUAUGAGGAAACAACUGUAUAUAACAAAAAAUGAGUCUGGAAGUAACCAGUAUAGACAUAACUAAAAAGGUGUGUGUCAUCUGUGGAGAGCAAGAUGACCGUCAAGUUUCAAAACUUGGAGAAAAGGGAUGUCAAUGACUUUCAUUAGCUGCAAAAAACUAUAAAGACCAGAUUAUCGUGUUUGUUCUGGGACAAUAUGUGCAUAUCGACUGCCGUAAGACAUAUUGCCACCCAAACCAAACC